UACGUAGGGUCCGAGCGUUGUCCGGAAUUACUGGGCGUAAAGAGCUCGUAGGUGGUUUGUCGCGUUGUUCGUGAAAACUCACAGCUCAACUGUGGGCGUGCGGGCGAUACGGGCAGACUAGAGUACUGCAGGGGAGACUGGAAUUCCUGGUGUAGCGGUGGAAUGCGCAGAUAUCAGGAGGAACACCGGUGGCGAAGGCGGCUAUCUGGACAGAAACUGACGCUGAGGCGCGAAAGCUAGGGGAGCAAACAGG
rnacentral:rRNA from 1 species